rnacentral:lncRNA from 1 species
UCUUCCCAUUUUCAGGAACUAACAGGAACACAGUUUUUAUGAAAUAUGAAGACACAAGCCUAAAAAAUACAUUUUUGAAUUUAGUUCAAUAUUUCCCUCGUAAAAUGCGCAAUUUUUUAUCGAUUUCAUCCAUUUUUUGACCAUUCUGUUUGUCUGUCCAGUGCGCUAAAAAUAGACAUAUAUUAACAACAGAAGGGACAUAACUCGAGAAGACAUUUAAGAAAAUCUAUUAUGCUGUACUGGUCAAUGAGAUCAACAGAUAAGAGAUAUGGCUAGAGUUACUUGAUUGGGUACAACACACAUAUAACCUCAAAGACAGUCAAUUUGGU